UUGUCUUGGUGACUCCAAAUAUGGGAAAUGUC
rnacentral:piRNA from 1 species